rnacentral:lncRNA from 1 species
CUUUAUUAAAGUAUGACUGAUAUAAAAUAAGACUGCACACAGGGAACAUAUACUGUUUGAUAUUAGUUUGGAUAUAUGCGUAUACCCAUGAUGUCAUCACUACAAUCAAGGACUAAGCCAAAUGGGUGAGUGAUUGUCUAUUACUCUGAAACCAAGCGUCUGGGAAAUAAUGGAAACUUCUGAGGCUGUAUCAGAGACUGAAGUCAAGCGGUUGAUUCUACAGAACUUUGUCCUACUUCACUCAGGGGUCUCCCAGGCGACUGCUGCUUCUUUACACAUACACUAUCUUGCUUUGGCUACUCAGCAGAAUUGAAGUCACUGCCUUGACAGGCUGGAACUAGAUUUCCUCACUACCUGCAUACUCUGCAAAUGACAUUUUUCAUGAAAUAGAUUCCCUUCUCAGUGAUUUGGGUCCUGGACUCCUGGGAGCUGCUAUUCAUAGAAGAUUGAGCAAAAGCCUUUUUCAAAUGCAUUAGCACACAUUUUCUUUCAAAAUAGAAAGAUGCUUAGAAAUGUUACAAUAAUUAAAAUUUAAUUGUGUAACGAAAGGUGGUAACUAUCUUUUUAAUUAAACAGAUUUGAUUAGGUACCACCAUAGGAAAUUAAUUGUUAUAGUUACUGAGAUACAAAAAAGAAAAAAAAACGGAAUAAAAGAAAG